AUAAAUGGAGAUGGGCUUGGCUUAGCGAAAUUGGGAAGAAUGGCAAGCCUUUUAGUUCGUGGGCUAAAAAAAUCAAACAACCAGGUACGUGUCUUUGCACAGUAUGCCACAGGAAAUUUCAAUAUGGCAAUAAUGGCAAAAAAGUGCUAGCUCGCCAUCAAUCAGAAGCUAGUCACAAUGCUGCCGUUCGUGCUCUACAGUACACAUGCUCCCUGCCUGGUGCGACAAGUACCACAACGGAGAUUCAUGCAUCUAUGGCCGACCGUGUGUGCGAUGUAAAAGUGCGCAUAUGUUCUUUCAUAGCGGAGCAUGACCUGUCGUUCACAGUCUCACAACCGCUAGUUAAUUUAAUGCAAUCAGUUGUCAAAGACAAGAGUGCACUUUCAAGAUUGUCUAUGUCUAAUGCACAUGCCUCCUACUUGUGCACACAUGGCAUUUCUGCUUAUUGGAAAUCCGAAUUGUCAUCUAAGCUGAAAACGAAGAUGUUUUCUUUAAAUGUAGAUGAGGCAACAGAUGGAAACAUGGACAGGAUUCUGAAUGUUCUUGUUCGGUACUAUGAUGAAGAUGUGGGAAAAGUGGCAACCCAGCAUCUAGCCUCGAGGAAACUGAAUAUUGCAGAUGCCUUAACAAUCACAAACACAUUGAAAGAUAUUCUCCAGUCAUAUAGCCUGAACUGGAAUCAGGUUGUUGGUAUACUGUUGGAUAACUGCAGUGUGAUGAGAGGGAAAAAGUCUGGAGUAGAGACACUAGUCAGAAGAGAAAAUCCAUCACUGCUGGAUGUCAGCGGAGACACUGUCCAUAUGGUCUCGAAUGCAGCCAAGGCCCUUUUAAAUCCUUUCCAGGGAUUUGUGGAACAAUUUUGCUCUGAUGUAUACUAUGACAUUGAAAAAUCACCCAAACAGAAAGAAGUUUUUUCUGAGUUUCAGUCCUUACUUCAUUUGGAGAAUAAGAGCCUAAUACGUCCCAUCAGCAGCAGGUUCCUGCAAAUGUUGGAUGUGUGCAACAGAAUACGGGAGCUUAUGGAUCCAUUGACUGUGCACUUCUACAGCGUCCUGUCUUCUCAUGAUCAACACAAACACAGAUGGCUCCUGAACCAGCUUCUUGAUAAGCAUGCAGUUACAUCUGAUGAGAAGGCCAGGAUAAUUUGUCUGCAACAGCAAAUGGCAAAAUCUGCAAGGAUCGGAAGUGAUGUCAACAAAAAACGAAAGACACGCAUCUGUAUGCUUUUUUCAGAGUUCGACAAGCUCACAACCAUUAUUGAUUUGUAUCGAGGUAUGUUCACUUUUUAUUCACUUUAAGUGUUAAGAAAAGUACAGAGAUUUCUUAUUUAUUGAAAUCCCUUUAUUGUUAUAUUUAUUAUAUGCUUAUUUUUCUUGGAAUCCUGGAAUGGAAUCUGAGUUAACCAUAAAUACAGUUUUUAGAUCACUGUUAAUCAGAUCACUUUGGUUAAUACUACUAAUACUAAUACUACUACUAAUAAACUAUUUAUACAGCACUUUGUAAGUUAUAGA
ensembl:lncRNA